UACAGAGGGUGCGAGCGUUAAUCGGAAUUACUGGGCGUAAAGCGCGUGUAGGCGGACUUGCAAGUCAGAUGUGAAAUCCCCGAGCUCAACUCGGGAACUGCAUUUGAAACUGCCUGUCUUGAGUAGUGGAGAGGAAAGCAGGAUUCCUGGUGUAGAGGUGAAAUUCGUAGAUAUCAGGAGGAACACCGGUGGCGAAGGCGGCUUUCUGGACACUUACUGACGCUGAGACGCGAAAGCGUGGGGAGCAAACAGG
rnacentral:rRNA from 1 species